GAUGAACGCUGGCGGCGUGCCUAAUACAUGCAAGUCGAGCGAACAGACGAGGAGCUUGCUCCUCUGACGUUAGCGGCGGGCGGGUGAGUAACACGUGGAUAACCUACCUAUAAGACUGGGAUAAGUUCGGGAAACCGGAGCUAAUACCGGAUAAUAUAUUUAACCGCAUGGUUCAAUAGUGAAAGACGGUUUUGCUGUCACUUAUAGAUGGAUCCGCGCCGCAUUAGCUAGUUGGUAAGGUAACGGCUUACCAAGGCGACGAUGCGUAGCCGACCUGAGAGGACGAUCGGCCACACUGGAACUGAGACACGGUCCAGACUCCUACGGGAGGCAGCAGUAGGGAAUUUUCCGCAAUGGGCGAAAGCCUGACGGAGCAACGCCGCGUGAGUGAUGAAGGUCUUCGGAUCGUAAAACUCUGUUAUUAGGGAAGAACAAAUGUGUAAGUAACUAUGCACGUCUUGACGGUACCUAAUCAGAAAGCCCCGGCUAACUACGUG
rnacentral:rRNA from 1 species